UACAGAGGGUGCAAGCGUUAAUCGGAAUUACUGGGCGUAAAGCGCGCGUAGGCGGCUGCCUAAGUCGGAUGUGAAAGCCCCGGGCUCAACCUGGGAACUGCAUUCGAUACUGGGCGGCUAGAGUAUGAGAGAGGGAGGUAGAAUUCCACGUGUAGCGGUGAAAUGCGUAGAUAUGUGGAGGAAUACCGGUGGCGAAGGCGGCCUCCUGGUUCAAUACUGACGCUGAGGUGCGAAAGCGUGGGGAGCAAACAGG
rnacentral:rRNA from 3 species